UACGUAGGGGGCAAGCGUUAUCCGGAUUUACUGGGUGUAAAGGGAGCGUAGGUGGUAAUGCAAGUCAGAAGUGAAAGCCCUUUGCUUAACGAAGGGACUGCUUUUGAAACUGUAUAACUAGAGUGCAGGAGAGGUAAGUGGAAUUCCUAGUGUAGCGGUGAAAUGCGUAGAUAUUAGGAGGAACACCGGUGGCGAAGGCGGCUUACUGGACUGUAACUGACACUGAGGCUCGAAAGCGUGGGGAGCAA
rnacentral:rRNA from 1 species